GCCAGGCAUGGUGGAACAUGCCUGUAGUCCCAGGUACUUGGGAGGCUGAGGUGGGAGGAUUGCUUGAGCCCAGGAGUUCAAGGCUGCAGUGAGCUAUGAUUGUGCUACAUACUCUAGCCUGGGCUACAGAGUAAGUCCCCAUCUCAA
ensembl:misc_RNA Metazoa_SRP Metazoan signal recognition particle RNA